rnacentral:misc_RNA from 1 species
ACCAAACUCUCUCAAUUCUCUCCAUUUUUCUUCAUACAGGUACAUGAGAAUGUUGGACACGGUUCUGUUGGUCCUUAAGCAUUGAAAUAAUCAAGAGCUGAUAUUGUUCUUUAUUUGGAAAGUUACAGAUUUAUAACAAGUUUUGUUUGUUUGGAGUAAUAGAAAAGACUCUUGAGGAAAUAUGAAAUUCUAGGGAGAGAUAGAGAGAGAGAGAGAG